CUAAAGCCCUGGAUUUCACAAUGAGGAUUGGAAGUCCCCAGAAAAUCUGCACUUCAUGAAGGAAUGUUAGAUUAACAAUCAGCACUGUUAAAAAACAAAACAAACAGAACGACAAAAAAACCCUACUGACAAACAAGACAGUGCUGCAUUUGCUCGUUGUGAAGCUAAUCGACUCCUUGUCAACUGGAUCUGAACUAAAUUUUGAAGCAAAUCCUUGUCUUCGGGGUUUUUCUUGAAAUGACGAUUCCAGGGCAUGUCUACUCUUCUGCAGCCAUGUGCCUGCCUGCUGCUAUUACUACAUUUAUCAAGAACAUGUCAUGUUACAGCUGGUUAAUUUAAAGAAAUCACAGCAGUUCUGACACAAGUUGCCACCCACUUUAUAAUGUGUAUAGAUGCAAUUAGAAUUGAUUGAGCCACUGCAAAUAACCAGCGGCAAAACAAAGGUUUCCCAGUAUAUACUUAAUUAAGAUGAUCCAUAAAUAUGGAUUAGGUUAAAAGGCUUUUGAGAUGUGUUUGCAUCACAGGAUGUUUGCUAAUGCUGUCAAACCUUUGAAAGAGGAAGCUGUAGCUGGAGGGCACUGGACCAGGAGCUCGUGUUCAGGGCUCCCUGCCCUGUGGUGGGGCAGCAGGGAGCAGAAGCCCCACAUCAGGGGCACAUGAACGUGGUAGGAACUGAACACAAAAGGUUUCUCUGAAGGAGGAAGAAAAAGAUGCUCUCUAUCCCUGCCCUCUUUACUUGAAGGAAGAAGUUUUUAAUUCAUUUAAUUAUUUGUUUUCAAUCCAGCGUUUGGUAUUGGCUUGAGGUUUGGGGCUUUAUCUGCCCCCGAAGUCAAUCUGCCCACUGGCUCACAGUAACCUAUUUAGGUUUAAUGAAACAGGUACUAUACAUUAAAUGCAUGACAACUCAUUAGCAUCAGUCCAGCAGGGAGAUCACUGCGGAAACUUUGCCAUGAAUAUAAACUCAAACGUGAAAAUGAAAUUGCUUUGGCUUUUUCCCUGCACCUCUCUGUGCUCCUGGGAGCUGUGUGUGAUCACACCUGGCACGAACGCUUUGCACAGACUUUGCGCAGCACCAAUCCAGAUGCAGAUCCAGCCUCUACUGAAUUUGCUGCGUUUUCACAGGAAAUGAAAUAUACUUGGUAGCUUCGGUGAGUCUGAGAACUGAUGGCUAAACAGCCUAGAUUAUGCCUGUUGUUUGCCUCUGCCUCUCCGGUCCCUGUGCAGGGGACCUGGACAUCGAGCCUCGAAUCUCUGAACUGCUCUUUAACUCAAAAGCAGACAGUAAGAAAGCCCCGUUCCUGUGUAUUGAGCUAGUCAUCUUCUCCCUGUUCUGUCUCCUCCACGUUACACUCUCUUUCUGUCUUGGCAUGAUGCAGUCCUGGGGCACCCUGACAGUCCUUGGCAGUGAGCACGGGGAUCUUGGCUUUAACACACUCAGCCAUAUGGUGAGAAACCCCGAAAUCGCCAGUUAGAAGACGAAAAAAAUCUGGCUGUGAGGGACGUAGGGGGAAAGAGACACCGGUGAACCAAAUGAAGCUGAACCUGAUUUCUCCAAAUGAAUUACCUGGCAAAUUCACAUAUUUCAUGUGCUCUGCCCCUCUGCCCCCCUCUUUUUUCCCUUCUUUCUCCAUUAUCUCCAACCAAGCAAACACUUGAAGGCACUCUUGAGCCAGAAGGAUCUGCUGAAAGGCAGAACUGAUCAUUGAUAGAACUCAGAGAAAACAGGCCCAGAUUUGGAUGCCUGGUAGAGAAAGAGGAGCAAGAAAGAAUACAUAAUAUUGGACUCCAAACCUCCCACUGAACUAGCUUUGGGAGGCACGCUUAUGGUGGAGACAUCCCAAACCUCCAAGGGUGCUCAAAAACGCCAUAUAAGAAUUGAUCUCUGAUCUUUUAUAGAUCUAAUUUUUGUAAAGGGCCAUGAGUCCCUGUUUUUAAACAAUUCACGUUCUGUCAGUUAUGCACAUCUGGACAUAAUAUCACAGAAAAAAAAAUGUCGGUGAUUUCCCUUCUUGGUUUUACUUGCAUGCACAGACUCUAGGCCAAAAUUAAUAAAUAAAUGGGAAUAGAAAAU